ACAUGUUUACAAUACAACGUUAAUGCAUUGGAUCCCAUUAGAACUCCGUAGUUAAGCACACUUGAGCUAGAGUAGUACUGGGAUGGGUUAUCGCCCUGGAAGUCCUAGUGUUUUACAUGCC
rnacentral:rRNA from 1 species